GACGAACGCUGGCGGCGUGCUUAACACAUGCAAGUCGAACGGUAAGGCCCUUCGGGGUACACGAGUGGCGAACGGGUGAGUAACACGUGGGUGAUCUGCCCUGCACUUCGGGAUAAGCCUGGGAAACUGGGUCUAAUACCGGAUAGGACCCUGGGAUGCAUGUCCUGGGGUGGAAAGCUUUUGCGGUGUGGGAUGGGCCCGCGGCCUAUCAGCUUGUUGGUGGGGUGAUGGCCUACCAAGGCGAUGACGGGUAGCCGGCCUGAGAGGGUGACCGGCCACACUGGGACUGAGAUACGGCCCGGACUCCUACGGGAGGCAGCAGUGGGAAAUAUUGCACAAUGGGCGCAAGCCUGAUGCAGCGACGCCGCGUGAGGGAUGACGGCCUUCGGGUUGUAAACCUCUUUCAGCACCGACGAAGCGCAAGUGACGGUAGGUGCAGAAGAAGGACCGGCCAACUACGUGCCAGCAGCCGCAGUAA
rnacentral:rRNA from 1 species